ACAUAGCCUAGAAUAGGUUAGG
rnacentral:miRNA from 1 species